rnacentral:ncRNA from 1 species
GAGAGCACAGUACGAUGAAAGUUGUGAGUUGUGUUCGGGGGGAGUUAUUGUCUAUCGUUGGCCUCUAUGGUAGAAUCAGUUGGGGAGGCCUGAGAGAUGGUGGUUACCCUGU